AAAGAAAUCACACAGCAAAAUCAAAAUUUCUAUGUUAUCCAUAGUUUCUGCUUCCUCACAAUGUUGAUGUUGUGGGAAGUCGAUGAGCAAGAAAUAGAAAGAAAAAAAAAACGCUGCCUCCCAAUUAUUUCCCAUUUCGGUUCCUGCAUCUCUUCUCGAUUUCACAGACAGAGAUCCAAUGGCGCCGGUGCCCAAUACCCGUCCGGACGGGGACGAUGAGGAUCCGCGACCUACCAAACAACCACGGCUUGGAGAGGCAGAAGAUUCCAAGGAGGAGAAACCUAAACCUGAACCUGACACAGAUCCCAAUCACCGCAUUCAACUAAACAAUCAUCGCUUUUUGAGGCAGAAGAUGAAACUGCUGGUACGUAUGCUUUUUGUGUUUUGACGAAUUUCUUUUAUUUUUUCAUUUUGGUACCAGAAUUUCUGAUGUCGAAACUUUUCCUUAUUUUAUAUUGAGUUUAUUCACCUUUUGGUUUAUGUAAUUGAAUGAAAUUCUAUGUGAUAUCGCCAGAGUAUUUUUAAUUGAUUUGAAAAUAGUAUUUAAGACGUAUAUAUUAUGAGGAGAUUGUUAUAAAAUCGAGUAAAAUUCUCAAAAAAAAUUUGCUCAUAAUUGUUGUAUUUCUGUUUCUGGGAAUUGAUAGGUGUCUAGACUAUCCUUGUGCUGUUCUUCUGGGAAUGAAUUUAGUUGCUUAAAAAUUCUGUGUAAUUUAUUGAAGUAACUAGUAAUUUGUAGUUUGUCCAAAAAAAAAAAAAAAAA